UAGCUCAUUUGGUGAAGAAUCUGCCUGCAAUGCAGGAGACCCAGGUUCGAUUCCUGG
rnacentral:tRNA from 1 species